GGUUUUGUCCUGCUUCUAGGCUCAUUCAUUGAUGCUACUGACUGUCUCAGUCAAUGAAUUAGGUCUUAACAGGGACAAAACUUACAUUUAUAAAGCAAAAAGGAAACUUCCACUUAAGCAAUGUAACAGAAGACUUGAAGGACUGCAGUAAGGGGGUACCUAUAUAAGUGUCAGGCCAAUCGAAAAUAGUGUUCCUCCUUAAGGUGGGAUGGCUCCAGGAACCUUUGACACCAUAACCUC